rnacentral:rRNA from 1 species
UACGAAGGGUGCAAGCGUUAAUCGGAAUUACUGGGCGUAAAGGGUGCGUAGGCGGCUAGUUAAGUCUGUUGUGAAAUCCCCGGGCUCAACCUGGGAACUGCAUGCAAAACUGGCAAGCUAGAGUAUGGUAGAGGGUGGUGGAAUUUCCUGUAUAGCGGUGAAAUGCGUAGAUAUAGGAAGGAACACCAGUGGCGAAGGCGACCACCUGGACUGAUACUGACACUGAGGUGCGAAAGCGUGGGGAGCAAACAGG